GCCAUCUUCUGGUGCAUGGGGUUUCCAAAGUAUUGCGGGGGGACUCUCUUCCCGAUGCUGGGGGUCGGGACCCCCUCCGGAUGGUGGGGCUUCCUCCACGGUGCAGGGACCCCUCCCAAGCGCAGGGGAACUGGGGCUGCCUCUCUGAGGCUCAGGGUUUCUAAAGUAGCUGGGCGGCCUCCUCCACCCCACGGAGAGAUCUUCCUUCCGACCCAAGACUCUUGGCUCUCAUUGCUACUCACCAUCUUCAAUUGGAUGUCCCAUAGAUCUUCACAGUGGCCCCCAACCGAAUUUACCUGACACCGCUUGGCAUGACACCACUGGGCAAGGGCUCUGCUCUUGGUUCUGUCCCUAAUAGUGCAAAUGGCCACCCCUCUCUAUGCCUCUGUUCUCCAUCUGCAAAAUGAAGGUCGUGGCCAGAAGGUGAUACCUACGAGAGGAAUUGCUGGAUUGUUUAAUGUCAUCCUGUAACGUCAUAAGAAAAAGAAAGCCAAAUUGUUUUCCCAAGCGGUUGGUCCUGCUUACACUUCUAGCCUGUUGCUGUAUCUAAAUAAAGUAUCU